rnacentral:misc_RNA from 1 species
GGGCAACAGGUCUCCUUACGGGCCCUUCAGCUUGAGAGCUCCUGAUGGUCAAAGAACAAGGCUUUGUUAGUGUGGAAAAUCUAAAACAAUAGGAGGUGGAAGUUGUUGAUGAAGAGGAAGAUGGAGGAGAGGAGCAUGAUGAUGAUGAUGAUGAUGGGUUUGGGAUUCUUAUGCAAGGUAUUGAGGAGGCCACUGACAUCUUCCUCUUUCUUUCUCAAGUCCCUGUAGCUAUAGAUUUCUUGUUGGUGGGUUUUGGGUACGCGGGCGUGCUAUCAGAAUCAGAAGAUAUGUGUGUGGAAGAGGUGUGGCCAAGUCCCCAGCGGCGAAGAUGGUACC